rnacentral:rRNA from 1 species
UGCCAGCCGCCGCGGUAAUACGGAGGGUGCAAGCGUUGUUCGGAAUUAUUGGGCGUAAAGCGCGUGUAGGCGGUUCGUUAAGUCUGAUGUGAAAGCCCGGGGCUCAACCCCGGAAGUGCAUUGGAAACUGGCGAACUUGAGUACGGGAGAGGAAAGUGGAAUUCCGAGUGUAGGGGUGAAAUCCGUAGAUAUUCGGAGGAACACCAAAAGCGAAGGCAACUAUCUGGGCUUAGACUGACAUUGAGGCACUAAAGCGUGGGGAGCAAACAGGAUUAGAUA